CCUACGGGUGGCAGCAGUGGGGAAUAUUGGACAAUGGGGGGAACCCUGAUCCAGCCAUGCCGCGUGUGUGAAGAAGGCCCUCGGGUUGUAAAGCACUUUCAGUGAGGAAGAACGCCUGGUGGUUAAUACCCAUCAGGAAAGACAUCACUCACAGAAGAAGCACCGGCUAACUCCGUGCCAGCAGCCGCGGUAAUACGGAGGGUGCGAGCGUUAAUCGGAAUUACUGGGCGUAAAGCGCGCGUAGGUGGCUUGAUAAGCCGGUUGUGAAAGCCCCGGGCUCAACCUGGGAACGGCAUCCGGAACUGUCAAGCUAGAGUGCAGGAGAGGAAGGUAGAAUUCCCGGUGUAGCGGUGAAAUGCGUAGAGAGCGGGAGGAAUACCAGUGGCGAAGGCGGCCUUCUGGACUGACACUGACACUGAGGUGCGAAAGCGUGGGUAGCAAACAGGAUUAGAUACCCUAGUAGUC
rnacentral:rRNA from 1 species